AUCACUUCUCGGCCUUUUGGCUAAGAUCAAGUGUAGUAUCCGUUCUUAUCAGUUUAAAAUAUCAAUGUCAUAUUUCACAGAUCUAGAAUAAAUACUUCUACACUUUGUUUGGAACCAGAAAAGAGCCAGAAUAGUCAAAGCAAUCUUAAGCAAAAAGAACAAAUCAGGAGGCAUUGCAUUACCAGAUUCCAAACUAU